AAUUCCGUUUUUGUCCCUGCUACGAUAGAAAUCUCUCGAUUUCUUCGUGUUGUGUGCUUCCAGCAUCUUCCACUUUUCACUUUCCUCUUCUUUCCUUCUCUUUCCGUUUCUCUCAUCCUAGAACGGAAGAACGAUGGAAAAUCAGGGUUCUUCCAUUUGCUUCCACAGAUUUCUCGAUCUCUCUCGAGCUCCGGAUCCCUAGCCUCCGUAUGAAGGAAAUCGUCAAUCCUGCAGAAUCCUUGGGUUUCCUGAUUUCAUCGGCUAUUUCAUCAGUUUUUGGAUUCGAUCAGGAUCGGUUUUUUACCCACGAAAUCUAGAGUCUUUUGAUGGCUUUUUCUAGGUUCGGUGAAUUUACAGGGGAGAGGGAGAGAGAGGCCUGUUGAGACCUGGACUGUCGAAUGGAGAGGAUGAAAAGCAACUGCAGGAAAGCGGCAAUGGAGACCCGACAGCAGCAUUUUCAAGUCGAUCUGGAACUGGAGAGUGUGUUCUUUCCAAUCUUAAGCCAGGAAACAUGUGGAGUAUUAAGUCAGAAUGGUUCUUGCUGCUUCAGACAGUGGCCACACCACAGUGCUUAAAGAUUUGAAUUUUUUAAAGUGGUUCCACAAAACCUGCACAGUGGUUCCACAAAAAUCUGCAAAGUGGACGUUAUGUUGCUUGCAGCAGUAGAUUGUUCUUUUCUAUUUAAGUUUGACUGCUUCAACCAAAAAACUUUUGCUCAUGUGUUAAAGGAUGUUGGCAUCUGUUAUCCAAAACAAACAAGUAUGGAAUCACAUUUUUUUGUGCAAAUAGUUGAUCCAAACAUGAAUUAUCAAGGUGGAAUACUAGGUUAAUCAUUUUUGUAUACUAAUAAGGCAUUUGAUAAUGUCUUUUCUGUAAGUUAUAUAAAUUUUGACAGCUUUGUAAAUAUAUUUAUUCCAUUUUCUGUUUAGUAUUUAUAACACUUUGCAUA